GGAGACAUAGCUCAGUGGUAGAGCGUUCGACUGCAAAUCGAGAGGUCCCCGGUUCGAGCCCGGGUGUCUCCU
rfam:Echinostoma caproni strain Egypt genome assembly, scaffold: ECPE_scaffold0009058